AUUGAACGCUGGCGGCAGGCCUAACACAUGCAAGUCGAGCGAGCGGCGGACGGGUGAGUAAUGGCUGGGAAUUGCCAAGUCGAGGGGGAUAACAGAUGCAAACGACUGCUAAUACCGCAUACGAUUGGAUCACCCAGGGGGGAUUAGCUAGUUGGUGAGGUAAUGGCUCACCAAGGCGACGAUCCCUAGCUGGUCUGAGAGGAUGAUCAGCCACACUGGAACUGAGACACGGUCCAGACUCCUACGGGAGGCAGCAGUGGGGAAUAUUGCACAAUGGGGGAAAGCCUGAUGCAGCCAGGCCGCGUGUGUGAAGAAGGCCUUAGGGUUGUAAAGCACUUUCAGCGGGGAAGCGGUACUCGCAGAAGAAGCACCGGCUAACUACGUGCCAGCAGCCGCGGUAAUAC
rnacentral:rRNA from 1 species